CGACGUGUCGUUUUUUUUGGUCGAAACUCGAAACCUAUAUAUAGCUAGCCCAAAGGUCUCCCAACAAAGAACAAAGGCAGAGUUUCAAUACCCAUUUCACAAGGCGUUCCCCUCUUCUCUGGUAGUUGUCUUUCGUUAUGCUUGUUUAUAAGAUAUCUCAGCUCGGAGCUAGGAUUAUCAAGGAUCUCACAAGAGGGCAUUUGACAUCCGCAUCAAAGAUGGCACAAUCACAUGCAUUUUGCAAUCAUUAUUUGCAACCUCUGAAGAGUCGUUCUUUUUGUGCAAAAGCUUCUGACAAGGCCCAUGAAGAAUGGAAUGAA